rnacentral:rRNA from 1 species
GAUGAACGCUGGCGGCGUGCCUAAUACAUGCAAGUCGAACGAAGUCUUCGGACUUAGUGGCGAACGGGCGAGUAACACGUUGGUACCUACCCCGAAGUGGGGAAUAACUGCGCGAAAGGGUGGCUAAUACCGCAUAAUACCGCAAGGUUAAAGCAGUAAUGCGCUUCGGGAGGGGCCUGCGUCCCAUUAGCUAGUUGGUAGGGUAAUGGCCUACCAAGGCGACGAUGGGUAGCUGGAUCGAGAGGUUGACCAGCCACACUGGGACUGAGAUACGGCCCAGACUCCUACGGGAGGCAGCAGUAAGGAAUCUUCCACAAUGGACGAAAGUCUGAUGGAGCAACGCCGCGUGCAGGAUGACGGCCUUCGGGUUGUAAACUGCUUUUAUACGGGAAGAUUAUGACGGUACCGUAUGAAUAAGGACCGGCUAACUACGUGCCAGCAGCCGCCGUAA